GUUGUGAGCCCAGGAGAGACCCCCAAUGCCCUGAAACAGUGCCUACAUCCCUUGGCUCAGGGCCUCCUCCCAGCCUUAAAGCCAGCAAUAACGGGAUGGUCUUUCUCAUGCUGCCCCACGCUGACACCUCUAUCUCCUGCUUUCACUUUAAAGGACCUUUGAUGACACUGAAUCCCUCUGGAUAAUCCAGCAUGUUCUCCUUAUUUUAAGGUUAGCUGAUUCGCAACCUAAAGACCUCUUUGCCAUAUAACAUAACAUUUACAGGUUCAGGGAAUUAAAACACAGAUAUCUUUGGGGGGGGGAUGAUAUUCUGCCUACCACAGGGGUCUUCCCAGAUCUUGGUCUCUUGCCAUACGACCAGAUCUGCAAACAUUUGAGAAUGUAGCACUGUUCUGUGGGGUGGUGGUUUUAAAAUAGGCCCACAAACUCUGAUAUGCCUUUGAUAUAUAUGCCUUUGAUUCCUCUUUGCUUCAAGAGGAAUCUAGUAAUGCAGAGAACACUGUGGAAGUGUGAUAUAGGUUACUUCUGAGAUUAAGUCAUAAGACAGAGUGGGUUCCAUCUUGCUCUCUCCUGUACACUCAUUCUGAUUGAAACCAGCUGCCUGUGCUGUGAGGAUACCCCAGCAGUCCUAUGAAGAAGCUCACUCAGCAAGGAACUGCCUGCUGCCAAGAACGUUUGAGUGUGCCAUAUUGGAAGUGGACCUUCCAGCCUUGAGAGCACUACCUCCCUGGCUCACAUCUUCACUGCAACCUCAUGAGAUGACCCUGAGCCAGAACCACUCAGUUAAACUUCUCCCAGAUUCCAGUAGAAACCACGAACUAGUAAAAUCUUAUUGUUUUAAGAUGCUAAGUUUUGAGGUCAUUUAUUGCACAGUGACAGAUAAUACAUAUACAGAUCUUCUGUUCAUUUUUCCACUUAAAAGACUUCAAAAAUCA
rnacentral:lncRNA from 1 species